ensembl:lncRNA novel transcript
AGUAAAGUUACAAAGUCAUUCACUUGGUGUACACCCUAUGUAAAUGGAGAGGAUGUUUCCUAUCAUAGCUGAAGUGUUUCCAUUUGAUUUAGUUCUAGGAAAUCAGCAUGAAUUGGCCUUAUGUUCUCUGCCUCCAGACCCCAUUGUCCUGCCUCAAUACCACUGCAGGUUGUGCCUGAAAAACACAGCAUUCCAAUAAAUUGUUUUUCACAAUUCCUAUUAAAAAAUAGUAGUGCAUUUGUUUAUAAUUGUAUAUGCUACAUUAUCUACAAUUAUCUGUAUUUGUAUACACAUGACCAGGUAAACACAUUACUAGAGUUUUUCUGAGGCCUUUGAAGGGGCUGUAGAGCUUGGACUCCUUCAACUUAAUGGUAAAGCCUCCUCUGAGUUCAAGAAUUUUUUUUUUUCUUCAAGAUGGAGUCUUGCUUUGUUGCCCAGGCUGGAGUGCAGUAGCUCAAUCUCAGCUCACUGCAACCUCCACCUCCUGAGUUCAAGCAAUUCUCCUGCCUCAGCCUCCCAAGUAGCUGGGACUACAGGCACGUGCCACUAGGCCCGGCUAAUUUUUGUAUUUUUUGUAGAGAUGGGAUUUCACCACGUUGGCCAGUCUGGUCUCGAACUCCUGACCUUGUGAGCCACCGCGCCCAGCCUGCAAGAAUUAUUUACUAAUACCCUACCCUGUACUUAGCAUGGUGCUGAAUUUUUAUGGAAGCAUCUGAGAACUGUACCUAUCCCUGCUUAUAAGUGUACAUAGUCCUGUUAGGGAGAAACAAAAUAUAAAAUUGCACAAGUAAAGUACAUAUAUAUGACCUCAGAAAGGACUUCCAGACCCUAGGAGAACCUAAAAGGUCUGCAAAACUUUCCCUCUUGAGGCCCCUUGCCCCAUUUCGCCUUCCAAUCAUUUAGAAUUUGAAGGCAAAUUAGAGGAUAACUGAAACUGACAAAUCAGGAGCUUUUCUUGUUACCAGAAUGAAUUUUGUAAAACUCAAAUCUGAAUUCCUACUUCUCCAGCACAUGAUAGUUUUUUAAUAAAACUUUAUACUAAGCAAGAUAGAAAUUUAUAAAAUUCAGUGUAUAUUAUUUUUUAAUGUGUAAAUGAAACUGGAUACUAAAGGCUAGUAUUAUGAUAAAGGUAACUUAAAAACCACUGAGUGAACUGAUGAAUAAAAUAAGUUUGACACAUAUAUUUUUAAAUAAAUGAGGUUUAAAUUAAAAGUUAAAUGCAAAGUGUAGAAACUUAAAAAUAUUACAAAGUUAGCUACAAAAAUAUUUUUAAAAGGUGACCCACAAGGGAUUGUGAACAGGUUAGCAUGCUUUUAAAUUAAGAAACAGAAACAGAAUGCAUGGCUGCUCAAAAAGAGUAUCUUUUUGUGCUUUCUUGAGGGAGAGGGUUGUGGAGGGGAAACCCUCCAACUCGGGCUGGCUAACAGGGAUGCUUCCUUAUGAAACGUGCUCACCUAAGAAUACCAGUGAGACCAUCGGCACUUUCUGUAAUUGGCAGCAAUAGAGCUAUUAGAAGAAACAUGAAAGAGAUAGAUGGAUCUGAAAUCAACAUUUGUAACAAAAGGCCUCACCAUGUUCCCCAGCACAAAUGUGCUACUGAUUAGCAGCUAAAAUGUGAGCAUCCCUACUCAAAUUCACCCUGUUCUCCCCAUCCUGAAGGUUCUGAUAUUAAUGCAUAACAUUGUAGCUUAUAAUGCUUUUACUUAACAUUAUCUUAUUCAUGCAUCAUCAGAGAAUGAUCUACCAAAAUGUAUGGAGAGAAAGCUAAAAAUGUAAAGUGGCUGUUCUCAAUCUUAGCUACAUAUUAGAACAACUUGGGGAGUUUUUAAAUUCUGUGAUAACCACACUGCCCUCAGACCAAUCCGAAUUCUGGGGCUUAAAUCCAGGUGGAGUGCUAGCCACAUGUAGAGCAGCUUUCUGCUUUCAUAUAUAUCUGGGCUUAGGCCUCGGUGAGGGUUGGGAAGGGCCUAUGACCUCUGAAGAGCCUUCACAUUACAGCCCAGGAACAGCUGGCCCACAGCAGGAGAGAUGCAGAGCCUGAGGUGGAGGGCCAAGCCUGGGGAAUAGGGGGUGCUUUGAAGAGCGUGGUGGUGAAUGGAGGCUUAAUGAAGCAGAAACUCUACUGCUGUCCAGCUGCCCCAAAUUACCUGAAUUUAGAAAGGAACACAAAGUUACAGUGAGUGCAUUUUAUUUUAGCUCAGACAAAUCCAACACCAUGGAUAGAAGGAGGGAAAGUAAAGAUCCCAUUCAGAGCCUUCCUCCUCCAAGAAUUGAGGGGCUUUCUCAUUUUUCUCUCUGUAAAGGAUCAUUUCAUAAUUCAGCUCUCUUACUUUUAUAAGCCACUUUUAAAACCCACAUUCCUGUGUGUAUUUAUAUCUAUUUCUGUGCUUUCUAUUCUGUUCUAUUAGUAAUCAGUCCAUUCAAGUGUCAGUACCAUGCUGUUUUAAUUAUGGAGGCUUUAUACUGUGUUUUAAUAACUGGUCAAGCUAUGUCCCUUACUGUGCUGCUUUUUUCAGAGUUGAAAAAGAUUUAAUAAAAUCACAAAUUUAAUUGGAUUUAAUCCUUCAUGUAAACAAUAUACAAAUUAUUUUCCUCCUUG